UACGUAGGGGCCGAGCGUUGUCCGGAGUUAUUGGGCGUAAAGCGCGCGCAGGCGGCUUCGCGCGCCCCGCCGUGAAAGCCCCCGGCUUAACCUGGAAAGGUCGCGGGGGACUGCUCCGCUCGAGGACGGGAGAGGAGCGCGGAAUUCCCGGUGUAGCGGUGAAAUGUGUUGAUAUCGGUGGGAACGCCAGUGGCGAAAGCGGCAAACUUGACCCUUCCUGACGCUGAGGCGCGAAAGCUAGGGGAGCAAACAGG
rnacentral:rRNA from 1 species